CAAGUACUCCCUCCAUCCGGAAUUACUUGUCAUCAAAAUGGAUGUGUCUAGAACUAAAAUACAUAUAGAUACAUCCAUUUCAAUGACAAGUAUUUUCGGACGGAGGGAGUACAGG
rnacentral:pre_miRNA from 1 species